UUCACGCAGGCUCUGGCUAUAAUAAGCAGAUAUGCAUCCUUCUACCCAUUCCACUGUUCCUUUUCGCUGGGAAACCACUUUUUAAUUUGUUGUGUGAGUGACUGGUGAGCCCCUCCGCCGAUCCCAUCCCGCGAGCCACUGCAGCAGAUGUCUCUUGACCUCACCUUCCAGGCAACAAGUCCACAGAUGGCCGAGGCCUGGAAAAAAUCAGAAUGUGACAUCGAAGUUCUUGGCGUUUCCAGGUUACAUCUUUUGAAAAGUAGAUGUACCGUCUCUAUGCUCUUCUCCUGACUGGAUAUAUAAUAGGAAGACCCUUGGGGAUGUCCAGCAACCAGAUGGAAGGAGCUUGGUUCCUGAAUGGAGGAAAGCUUCCUGUUGGCCUGCGAUAAUUCUCAGUGGACUGGUAGGUGUUUAUCCGUGUUACAAAAUACCAGCCAGGUGGGGUCUUAAGUGGGGAGCUGUGAAUGAAUGCCAGGAGCUGUGCUUCAUGGGAGACGGAAGUGGCUCAG